UCUUACCGGGUCGAUUGACACUAUUCAACUUUAUAAUAAGUGUGAGAUACAUGUUUACAUAAAGUGGCCCGGAAAAUGACAUGCCUCAAAUUAGGACAAGGAAAAGUAUUAAACGAUCAAUUAUUAAACUAAUUUCAAACUUUAUGGUUCCAUAGUAGCUUGAGAAGGCUCAAUGAUACACAUGACCUUUACACGAGCUAGAAGGAAAACUGUUCAAAAGUUUGCAAGCGAGAAGUGUAUUAGGUCGAAAGUUUCCUCUGACUAAGCAGGUGCGCGUGUUUUAAUGACACGAGUUGAUUCAAAUAGGCGUGAAUGUCACUUGUGAACAAAUUCAAGGACUAAAAAAAACUCGUCUUUCUAUUCGACUGCGUGUGUGUUAGGCCAUGACUGUAUGCUCCCGCACUCUGAAGAUCUGCUGUCGUGGCUUGUACCGGGUGGCAUACAAUAGCACCCCGUGGAGAGGAUACACCUUGUUGGCAAUGAUCAUGGAUUAAAGGCACACCGAGAAAGCCAAAUAUAUGAAGUACUGUGUCAAGCCGUGCAAAGGUACACUUCUGUUGAAUGACCCCAGCCUAAAUGGCCCUACGCACUCGUUCCGCUCAGCCACAAGGGAUUUCACAAGCCUGAUAUCACAAUGUACACCGUGUUGUCGCGUUUCAAGUGCGCUGUCAGACGUUAUAGACAACGAAAGGCGAUAUAGAGGGAAGGGACAUGCUAUCAGGUUCACGGAGUGAUGUCUUCAAGAAGGAAAUAGCUAUCUAAUGAUUGAAACUGGGGCAUGAUAACGAGGUAAAAAUAUAUUCGUGAAAAACAUUUUUGUGAAGUUAUCUGAAGCCUGUGCUCAAUAGAAACUCCAUGUUGUUAAAGUCUCAUAAAAGUCCUCUCUAUCGUU